rnacentral:rRNA from 1 species
CCUACGGGUGGCAGCAGUGGGGAAUAUUGGACAAUGGGCGAAAGCCUGAUCCAGCCAUGCCGCGUGUGUGAAGAAGGCCUUCGGGUUGUAAAGUACUUUCAGUGGGGAAGAAAGCCUUGGGGCUAAUACCCUCGAGGAAGGACAUCACCCACAGAAGAAGCACCGGCUAACUCCGUGCCAGCAGCCGCGGUAAUACGGAGGGUGCGAGCGUUAAUCGGAAUUACUGGGCGUAAAGCGCGCGUAGGCGGUCUGAUAAGCCGGUUGUGAAAGCCCCGGGCUCAACCUGGGAACGGCAUCCGGAACUGUCAGGCUAGAGUGCAGGAGAGGAAGGUAGAAUUCCCGGUGUAGCGGUGAAAUGCGUAGAGAUCGGGAGGAAUACCAGUGGCGAAGGCGGCCUUCUGGACUGACACUGACGCUGAGGUGCGAAAGCGUGGGUAGCAAACAGGAUUAGAUACCCCGGUAGUC